GCCUGGGUGGCUCAGUCGGUUAAGCAUCUGACUUUAGCUCAGGUCAUAGUCUCAUGGCUCGUGAGUUCAAACCCCACAUCAGGCU
rnacentral:tRNA from 1 species